rnacentral:sRNA from 1 species
UAAAUAGACUGCACAGAAAACAGAACCAACUCCUAAAUAUAGGAAGGCAUAACAACUUAAAUCAGAUACUUAACUACUACUUCUGUGGAAUAGGUCAUGACAAAACUGAAAAUAUUUACAGGUGAUACAGGGCUCGUGCCAGUUCGUUGAUUGUCUAUGGUUAAAUCUGGCCUGAUAGCAAUUGGAUAAUGCCCCGUACAAAUGACUCUCCUCCGUACCUUCAUAUGGUGAGGAGCUUCUGGCACCAAGGUGCAUUAGUUUAAACUUUUACUUCUAAUACAACGAUGAAUUGUACGUGUUAUGAUAUUUAUUUAUUUAUAUAUGUGGAAGUGUGAUCUUCGAC